CUGAGUUUCCGUGCCCGGGGAAGUGGCCCAGCGCCGCGCCAGGCCGCUGGCCGAGCUCUUGGCGCUCCGGCCGGGCUGCAGCCCCCUCCCCGUCGCCCCGGGCCUGGAGCCCCUCCCAGCCCGCUUCCCCUCUUUCCCUUCCCUUCCCUUCCCGGCCCUGCCUCCGCCUCCUGCGCCCACAGCCUCCGCCAGCGCCGAGCCCCUCGGAGCCGCAGCGCGGCGAAGGGGCGCCGCCGGCCCCUCCCCAGCGCGCUGACAGCAGGCUCCGGGGCCCCCGCCCCGUCCCCUCGCCGGCGGGACACACCCCCGCCCCUCCUCUGCUCCGCCAGUUCCCGCCGGACCCACCGGGCGGCGGAGAGAGCUGGCGGGCGAGCCGGAGAGCGGCGGAGGCGGCGCUGGAGGGAAGGGGCGCGCGGCAGGCCCACGGGGAGCCGCCCGGGCGCACGGAGUCCGCGUCCCCUCCGGACCGUCCCCGCUCCGCGGCCGUACCUGAGGGCGCCGGGAGCCCGGGCAGCGACGCGCCGGACCGGGGUGGCGGGGGGGCCGGGACCUGGGAAGCGGGUGAAGGAGCCGGAGCUCGACCAGGAUGAGAAGGUGACGCCGCCGGGGGGCGCCACUCGCUUUGUGGGGGAAGAUGCUCGCCUACUGCGUGCAAGAUGCCACCGUGGUGGACGUGGAGAAACGGAGGAACCCCUCCAAGCACUAUGUAUACAUCAUUAACGUGACCUGGUCCGACUCCACGUCCCAGACCAUCUACCGGAGGUACAGCAAGUUCUUUGACCUGCAGAUGCAGCUUUUGGAUAAGUUUCCCAUCGAAGGUGGCCAGAAGGACCCCAAGCAGAGAAUCAUCCCCUUCCUCCCAGGCAAAAUCCUCUUCCGGAGAAGCCACAUCCGGGACGUAGCUGUGAGGAGGCUGAAGCCCAUCGAUGAGUACUGCCGGGCACUUGUCCGGCUGCCACCCCAUAUUUCACAGUGUGAUGAAGUCUUUCGGUUCUUUGAGGCCCGACCGGAGGAUGUCAACCCCCCGAAAGAGGACUAUGGCAGUUCCAAGAGGAAAUCAGUGUGGCUCUCCAGCUGGGCUGAGUCUCCUAAGAAGAACGUGACAGCCCCCAGUUUUCCAGGCCUUGGCUGGGAGGGGAACCAGAGCAGCCUCUGUGGGAUGACAUCACCCACCGGCCUGCCUGACGAGUGGUUUCUCAUCUGGAUACCUGCUCCCAGCUCACACCCAUCCGAGCAGCCCUGGGCAGGCAACAUCCUAAGAGGUGCCGACACCCACGCCGAGCCCAUGAUCCUGGAACAGUACGUGGUGGUGUCCAACUAUAAGAAGCAGGAGAACUCGGAGCUGAGCCUCCAGGCCGGGGAGGUGGUGGAUGUCAUCGAGAAGAACGAGAGCGGCUGGUGGUUCGUGAGCACCUCUGAGGAACAGGGCUGGGUCCCUGCCACCUACCUGGAGGCCCAGAAUGGUACUCGGGACGACUCAGAUAUCAACACCUCCAAGACUGGGGAAGUGUCCAAGAGACGCAAGGCCCAUCUGCGGCGCCUGGAUCGCCGGUGGACCCUGGGCGGGAUGGUCAACAGGCAGCACAGCCGAGAGGAGAAGUAUGUCACUGUGCAGCCUUACACCAGCCAAAGCAAGGACGAGAUUGGCUUUGAGAAGGGCGUCACCGUGGAGGUGAUCCGGAAGAAUCUGGAGGGCUGGUGGUACAUCAGAUACCUGGGCAAAGAGGGCUGGGCACCAGCAUCCUACCUGAAGAAAGCCAAGGAUGACCUGCCAGCACGGAAGAAGAAUCUGGCAGGCCCGGUGGAGAUCAUCGGGAACAUCAUGGAGAUCAGCAACCUGCUGAACAAAAAGGCGUCCGGGGACAAGGAGACCACCCCAGCUGAAGGCGAGGGCCCAGAGGCCCCCAUCACCAAGAAGGAGAUCAGCCUGCCCAUCCUCUGCAACGCUUCCAACGGCAGCGCCCUGGGUGUCCCCGAGAGGACCGUCUCCAAGCUGGCCCAGGGCUCCCCAGCCGUGGCCAGGAUUGCCCCUCAGAGGGCCCAGAUCAGCUCCCCGAACCUCAGGACAAGGCCUCCACCUCGCAGAGAGUCCAGCUUGGGGUUCCAGCUGCCUAAGCCGCCAGAGCCCCCUUCUGUUGAGGUGGAGUACUACACCAUUGCCGAAUUCCAGUCGUGCAUUUCUGAUGGGAUCAGUUUUCGAGGCGGACAGAAGGCAGAGGUCAUCGACAAGAACUCGGGUGGCUGGUGGUAUGUGCAGAUCGGUGAGAAGGAGGGCUGGGCCCCCGCGUCGUACAUCGAUAAGCGCAAGAAGCCCAACCUGAGCCGCCGCACGAGCACUCUGACGCGGCCCAAGGUGCCCCCACCGGCACCACCCAGCAAGCCCAAGGAGGCCGAGGAGGGUCUGGCGGGCGCUGGUGAGAGCCAGGACUCCCCGCUGAGGCUCAAGUACGAGGAGCCCGAGUAUGACAUCCCUGCCUUUGGCUUCGACUCAGAGCCAGAGCUGAGUGAGGAGCCCGCAGAGGACGGCGGCUCGGGGGACAGGCGGCCCGGCCAGCCCCGCAGGCCCUCGCCCGCCUUCUCGCUGCAGCGCGCCCGCUUCAAGGUGGGCGGAUCUGCAGAGGACGUGGCCCUGGAGGAGGAGACCAUCUAUGAGAACGAGGGCUUCCGGGCGUGUGCAGAGGACGCCCUGUCGGCCAGGCGCUCCUCCCGGGACAGUGACUCCCCAGGCGGCUCCCCGCUGUCCCUUGCCAGGAAAAACUCCCCCAAAUCGGGCUCCCCCAAAUCGUCGUCGCUCCUGAAGCUCAAGGCAGAGAAGAACGCCCAGGCGGAAUUGGGGAAGAACCACUCCUCGGCCUCCUUUUCCUCGUCCAUCACCAUCAACACCACCUGCUCUUCCUCUUCCUCCUCUUCCUCCUCAUCCUUGUCCAAGAACAGUGGGGACCUGAAGCCCCGUUCUGCCUCGGACGCAGGCAUCCGCGGCACUCCCAAGGUCGGAGCGAGGAAGGAUGCCGACCUGAAGACUGGGCUGACCUCCUGUGCCCGGGCCAAGCCAUCAGUCCGGCCCAAGCCAUUCCUGAACCGCACAGAGUCCCAGAGCCAAGAGAAGAUGGACAUCAGCACUUUACGGCGCCAGCUGAGGCCCACUGGCCAGCUCCGGGGUGGCCUCAAGGGCUCCAAGAGCGAGGAUUCGGAGCUGCCCCCCCAGAUGGCCUUCGAGGGUCCCAGUGAGGGGUCCAGGAGAGGCUCGGCCGACCUCAUCACCCUCCCUGCUGCCACGCCCCCGUGUCCCACCAAGAAGGGGUGGGAAGGGCAGGCCACCUCCUACACGACAUGUAGUGCCUACCAAAAGGUCCAGGACUCGGAGAUCAGCUUCCCGGCAGGCGUGGAGGUGCAGGUGCUUGAGAAGCUGGAAAGUGGCUGGUGGUACGUGAGGUUUGGGGAGCUGGAGGGCUGGGCCCCCUCCCACUAUUUGGUGCUCGGUGAGAACGAGCAAUUCGACCCCCCUGGCAAAGAGCUGGACACAGCGGCCACCAAGAGCAAGCAGAACGAGGGCAAGUCAGACAGCCUGGAAAAGAUCGAGAAGCGGGUCCAAGCGCUCAACACUGUCAACCAGAGCAAGAGGGCCACGCCGCCCAUCCCCUCCAAGCCUCCCGGGGGCUUCAUCAAGACCUCGGGUGCCGGGGCGGUGAAGAUGAGGAAUGGCGUGCGGCAGGUGGCCGUGAGGCCCCAGUCGGUGUUCGUGUCCCCACCGCCCAAGGACAGCAACCUGUCCUGUGCCCUGAGGAGGAAUGAGUCGCUGACGGCCACCGACGGCCUCCGAGGCGUCCGCCGGAACUCCUCCUUCAGCACCACCCGCUCGGCAGCCGCAGAAGCCAAGGGCCGCCUGGUUGAACGGGCCGCCAGCCAGGGCUCGGACCCUCCUCUGCUGCCCACUCAGCGCAAUGGCAUUCCGGUGUCCCCUGUGCGCCCCAAGCCCAUUGAGAAGUCCCAGUUCAUCCACAACAACCUCAAAGAUGUGUACGUCUCGAUCGCGGACUACGAGGGGGACGAGGAGACGGCGGGCUUCCAGGAGGGCGUGUCCAUGGAGGUCCUGGAGAGGAACCCCAAUGGCUGGUGGUACUGCCAGAUUCUGGACGGGGUGAAGCCCUUCAAAGGCUGGGUGCCCUCCAACUACCUGGAGAAAAAGAACUAAUGAGGGGUAGUGGGGGGCAUCAGUCCUUCCAGCCUCAGUAUGGGUGAGCUGUGAGAUAAGACAAAGGGGAAAGGGAAAAUGGGAGGGGGUGGGGAGGACAACGUUAAACCUGCAGAAUGUGUGACCUCGAAGAUACUCCCCUCCAGGCUGUCCCCCAGCUGGAAGGUAGGGUCUGGUGGGGGCCCACAUUGAGCAGGGAGUGGAAGGGGUGGGGGUGUCCUGGGCCUGGGACCGGAGGCAAGAAAGCUGAGCCUCACAUGUGCACCUUGGGGACUUUGCUGAUGGACUCGGCACCAUUUGGGACAGGCCAUGUAGGAAACCCCAAUUUGUGCCUUGGCUGCAAAUCUGGAAAAGGUGUGGUUGUGCGGGCCUCCUGUGCCCUGCCCCUGCCUAGCCUGGUUUCCGUUGCUGGCAUCUUGUACCCCAGAAGUAGCCCUUGUAUAAUCCUAAUCUAGGUUUGUGAGUUAUGCUGGUUUCCCAGGAAUCGCUGCCGCCUGCCGUGGGUGAAUGUGGCAGGAGAUACCACUGGCUCUGGGGCUUGGAGGCAUCUGCUGUGAGCUCAGGCUGUCCCUGGGCCAGGCCACUGUGUCUUGUUAGUUGAAGAAAAAGCAGUUCCCCAGCUGCCAGCAAGGACUGCCAUUCUUAGCCGUCACUGCUGCUGGCCUUGAGAAGAGAGCCUGCCCUGCCUGGGGCACCCCCGUGGAGGACCACCAGCCCCAGUGUUUACAGAGAGGGCAGGCAGAGCCGUCGGUCUUUUCACAGUCUGCACAGACUUUAUUUUGGAUAUUUCUGGGUGGGCAGUUCUUUGCAAGUUUUGGGAGAGGUGUAUUGCUUUGGGCCUUCUAUGUCAGGCCUUGGGUUUUGGUCUUAUUUUAGGAGUUGUUUGGGGACCCAGGGGCGGUCAGCCUCACGGGACGGGAUGGGUAGUGGAUGGCCUUUCUAUCAUACUCUUGUGGGGAGGUUGUUUGGUUUGUGUUUUGCAUUCUUCCCUCCACAAGCCGAAGUCGCUUCAUUUGGUUUCCACUGUGUGGACAGUACCGGUGUUUGCCAGAGGGAUCUCAGGCUGGAGGAGCCCUGGUCCCAGCCAUGGCAAAGCGGAGACGCUGUUCUCCUGCUUCUUGCGCAACCUCAGCAGGGCAGAACCCUCAGCAGGGAGGAGGGUGGUGUUCAGGAGAGGGGCAGCGUACGUUCUCCUGCCUGGGCAGGGCCCGAAGCCUUAUGUGAAGGCUGUGGAGAAGCAACCGUCGCCCUCACCCUGGGCCAAGGGGAACCUGCUGGGCGGACACCACCAGCCACCCCCUGGCCUACAAGCAAUGCCGCAGGUGCCCGAGGAGACAAAGAUUCCUGGGCCAGGAGCCAGCCUGGUCUUUCCGAGGGGCGGUGCCCCUGCAAAGAGUGAAGGGAGAGAAUGACGUCCCCGUCAACUCUGGGUGGUGUCUUUCAGUCGACACUUCAGAGGCCAAACUGGCUUCCCCAAGGACUCACUCUUCACUGGGAGUGGAUUUCCACACGUGCCUUUGAUUGUGGACAGAUCAGGCUUCACAGCCCCCGAUUCAGCUGCCAGAUCCUGGACUAAGGAGGAAAGGCCCUCCCUCCGCCCACACUCCCCACCCAGGCAGUGUAUGAUGCCUGAAGAACAGCAGGGGACCCGUGCCUCGUGCCCUCAGCCCCCAGCCGCCCCACCCUCCUCCUUCGCCGUACACUGAUGCCUGGCAGCUCUAGCAAACUGCUCCCGUUCUAUGUUGCAAGGGCCGUGGUGAGAUUUUGCUUCCUUUUGUUUUGUUUGUUUAAAAUUAAAAUUAGUUAUUAUUUUCUUCUGCUGGACAGUAUUAAAUAGAGCAGGAUGUUGAGUUAUCUGCUAGAUGGCAGUACUAAUGGUAGUGUUGUAGUGUCUUCAUAUUAAUAUUAUUUGGACUUAUUUGAACAAUAAUGAUAAAGAAGUGGUUCAUUAUUUUCUAAUUAAUGCACUUUAAUACGGUGGAAUGGAAAGAAACCCAGAGAGCAAAGUGCAUUACUUAAAGAUGCAGUAUAUACUUUUCUCAUUUUUAAGCAGCACAUAUUUAUUAAAAGAAAAAAAAAGUAAUUUAUGAUUAUUUAAAAUAAAAUUUAAAAGUAGAGUGAUUGUCGGGUUAAAGGACCUUCCACGUAGCUAUCUUCCAGGGGGAAGGCCCCAGCGGCCUCACUCCUCAAUGUCUGCACUGAGCCAGUUCAAUCAGUAACACGCCAGCCAGGCCAGGAAGGAGUGCAGGACGCAUCUGCCAAGCACAGAGCAUCUCAGUCGGACUGGACCACAGUGCUCCCCAGAGCCUGCCUUUCCCUGCCCUUCCUCACUGCACUGCCUUGUGGGACUCUCCACCACCCACAAGGCAGAUGUUCUCCCAGCCCCCCAAGGACCCUCUCUCCUUAAUCCCCAGUGCUCUUAAGUGAUAGAGUCAUUAUAAGUGACCUUCAGGGUCACUCCAUCCCAUACCCUCCUGUUACUGCAGCCCAAAGACAGGAAUUAGCUUUCCCCAAAUCACAUAGCUAGUUAACAGCAGACCUCCCCAUUGCAUCCACCCCUGCACUCCUCCCCACCCCCGCUAGAGUUUAUAGUGUGGUCAUCAUGUUUACAUUGUGACAUCCAGCCCUAAGGAUGGCUGGGGGUUGCUCAGGCAUCCAGGAAAAGUAGAGAAUGCUGCCACCUGGUGACAGCAUGUAGCUUUGGGCAGUGAACAGGGAUUGCCAUGCCCCGUCUUCGCCCCUUGCCCCUCACCAUUCACCCCCUUACUCACAGCACAGCACAAACCCUGCAAACCCAAAGAGAAUAUUAAUACUUGAAGCAAGAAGGGUGCAUGCCAGUCCCUCUCAGACAUGGCCAGGGGAUGCCAGGCCUUGUGCCCCUGGACUCCUAGCCCUGCCCAGGGCAAGAGGGCUUUUCCCUAGAGCUACUGAGCUGCUUUGUGAUGUUGGAGGGUACUUCUGGCAGCAGGUAGAGGAGGGAGGGGUCUGUGGCUCUGACCCAUCUGGAGGAAAACCAGAUCAGACUUUAAAAGAUUAAAAAAAAAAAAAAAAAAUCUCAGCAGUGUCCAAACCUAGUUUUCCAUUAGUUGCGAUUGAAAAUGUGAAAUGACGUUGUAUUGCUGUAUACUGCAACUUUAAUCAAAAUGAGCCCUUCUGAGGUCAUUAUUGAGGUUUAUAUAAUGCCCGAAGAUGCAUCAUUUGGUGCUUUUUCUUUCAGUUUAAAGACUUUUUUUUUUUAUUACAAGGGAAAAAGAUGUCUUCAUCUCUCUCCCACUUUGUAACAGGGGCCUGGCUGGGCUCCCUGGCCCCAACAUGCUGUUCCCACUAGGCCAAGGGACCCCGAGGAUGGCAAGAGGGAGCUGGAGGGGGCAGCCUGAACAGCAGGUGUGCCAUCUGCCCCAGCUGUGGCUGGGCCCUCUGGCCAGCCCUCAGCCCCGUUCACCCCCAGCCUAGCCCCACAGGGUCCUCUUUCUUCCUCCUCCAUUCUCCAUCUUGACGAAGGCAUUAUAUAGAAUCGUUUUAAUCACUUUCAGAUGUUAGAGCAGCAUAUUUUACUGGCAUUUAUAUCCACUGCUUUCCUCAGCAAGGCAUGUUACUAUUAUCAUCUAAGGAAAAAAGACAAGGGAAUUUCGGUCAAGCAUUAUUUUCAUAUUACUAGUAUUUGCAGAAUAGGUGUAGAACUAUUUAAGUUUAGACCUUGGUUUGGUAGUUUGUUUUGUUUUUAUGGAAAAAAAAGAUAAAAGUAACCCCUACUUUUCCUGUUUUUGUAUUUAACUAAUAUAUUAUUUCUUUAAGGUUACUCACUUCCCCUACCCGCUCCAAAUACUUUGCAUUCUCAAUCGAAAAUGAAAACAAUCUGAGAGACAGGAAAAGUGCAAUAUUAUCAAGAGGGAUGCCAGGGCUUGUUGGGGCAGUGGCGGGAGAGCCAGCAACCCCGUCUCUCACUAGGGGAGGUGGGGCUCCUGGUAGGAGUCGUAGCUGUGGAGCCUAUAGAUGACCUGGGUAUUGAUUUCUUGUUACCCCUCCUCCCCUUCCCCCUUCCCUGGCAAGAUGGCAGGGUCCCCAGAGGGCAUCCCCUUCUGCUGGGUGUUGCCCACCCAGAAGAGAGGGAUUCAGGGAAGUGGCAUGGGGCACUUGGCCUCCCCGGGGCGCCCCAGCCCUAGGCACAGAGCAAGGACCUCCAGGAACCGCUCCUUGUUUUCAUUUCCGUUGUUUUUCAGCCAGCUGCUCAGAAAGACCUGUCCCACAAAUAACCCUCAGCAGCCGUCUCACCCCAAUCUCUUGAUGUUUGGGCCAUGAUCCUUUUGAUGUAUGUUUGAGUCUUUCUAAAACUACGUAACCUCAAGUUCAGUUUAUGGGCAGGAACCCUCGAUGUAAUCAAACCCUGUUGGAGGGAUGUGGGUGCCUUGAGCCCAGCAUCCCCCAGUGAUGCACCGAUUCCCACAAGCCUGCAGCUGGGCCUGGUGCUGAGCCAGGGCCACCCAUUCAUCUCAAUGACUUCAGCCCGAGCGAGGCGUGAGCCCUGCCUCUGCUCAACACCCCGACAGUCCCCAGAAGGUCUUGGAGAAGCGUCGGAGGAGCCUGCUGAGGUCCCUGCAGACAGAACUUCCCACAACAGGUACCAAGCCGCCGCCUCCUACCUGGGUGCCAGUAGAGAGGGGACAGGACGGGAAGUCUCUGGGUCCAAGCCCUGGGAGCUCUGCCCCUCAGGGAGACAGGGACAUCCUUGCGGGCUCAUCCCCUCCACCUCCAGUACUGUACGCUUGCUGCUCCAUCCCGUUCGGUGAAUUUCUGUACAAAUAGGAACCUGGCGCCCAGAGUGGGACCGUGCCCCCGUGUGGGGGUGGCUCUCCUUGGAGUGUAUACGUCUAUAGGUCCAAUCUUCAAGAAUCCCGAUGCAGAGCUCUCUGGAAAGAGAACCAUCCACAGUGCUAAAGAAGUAAGAUUCCCUCACUUUUUUUGAGGGCUGUGUGUUGUUGAGGAAGUGUGUGUGUGUGUGCAUUUGAGUGCGUAUGUGAGAGUGUUGGUCAUUUCCCACUUGAACUAAAGAACAUGGGGUUAGAGGAAAAAAAAUACUGGGCAAGCUGUCUCCAUUGAACAAGUCCUUGGCAUUGGGCAGGCCCCAAAGGACUCGCAGCUUCUGGCAGCAAGUGUAUGUGUUAUUCACACGUGUAAUUCUGGCUGGAGAGUGCAAUGUGUCUUUUUUUUUUUUUUUUUUUUUUUGGUAAUUAUUUUAUUAAGUAUUUAGUUGGAAACUUCACACUGGCAUUAACAGAUCUAGCAGAAGCAACCUAGGCCAUCGUCCCGGGCUCCAAAAUGAAGAUGUGGAAAGGUGCCGCCACUGGGUGUGGAAGUGCCGAGGCGGUCAGCUGGGGCUGCCACCUGCACAGUGUCUCUAGUAGGCUGACUCCCAGCCUUUGCCAUGCAUGUCGCCACUGUGGGAAUCCCCAUGUCAUGAGAGCAGCUGGCCCUCAGUUCUUAUGUUGCUGAGGGUGGAUCAGGCUGGUCGGGGCGAAAAAUUGCUCACAGCGAGCUCAGUGGACCUACCGGUGCGUGUACAUCAGCACCCCUGGUCUAGACUGCAGGCCUGACUGAACGCUUCAUGGGAAUCAUGUGGAGGGCUCCCCCUUGACAUUACUGAGCUUUUUGUCUAAAUCAUGAUCUCUGGUUGGGGCAGGCCCUGGUUCUCAAGCUCUGUGAUCAGAGCCAGUGACAGAACAGGGUCAGUGACCUAUAGCUGCACUUGAGGAAGAACAGCCCCACUGAUAUUAGCAUCCCUCCUGUUUUGUCCUGUGCACCUGGGUCUUCAGGCCAGAAGUUGGGCACACUGGUGCAUAUAGACUGGGUAGAGGACUCUGUCUUCCUGGGCCUUGGUCCCAAGCUGCCUAUAAUGUUGGUUUUACCAUGCCAUCCCCCUUGCCGGAGCCUAUCUUUUUAAUAUUGAGUUUGCACUUGACCUUGACAAUCAGCCCCCUCUCCCAUCCCAGAACUUAGUGGCCUUAGAGAAUGGGUCCCUACGAUGAAGGUCCCUCCUUUGCUCCCAUUUCCAUCCUAGCUAAUGGGCUGGACCUCAGGAGGCAAGAGAGAAAGGAAGAAUUAUCGUUUUAAAGCAAAAGUAUGGAUCGAGCACGUUGGAGGUGAGUGAGAGGCACGUCGGCAAGAUGAGUGUGCGUGUUUGGGGUGGCUGGGGCUUACCGCCCCUUCCCCAAGAAGGAGGCUUCCGGAAGAGGAGGUCUGCUAGGCAGAAAGGGAAGAGUAUGAGAAGGUUGAGAGAGGGUUUGGAGUCUGGAGUUUUGUCUUUAUUAGAAAGGAGGAGGAAGUCUAUUCUGAGUGUUUCAGGAAGAAGAGAGCAGGUAGGGAGGGAAUUUAGUGAUUCAACACCCAAGGGUCCAGCCAGAACAGGUUGGGAAAGCCCCAAGAUUUGGCUGUAGAAGCAGCUGGCCUCAGGAAACAGCUACUUGCUGGGCCACAAGCUGGGUCCCCCGCGGGUUCUUAAUGGUCAUUGAUUUACUUAGUGGAAAGCGGAAGUUGCCAGCAACAAACCAGUCUUUGAGUUUGAGGCCCUGGCUCCAGAACAUUCAUCCAUCUCUCAGGUUCCAGGCUGGGUUUGCCCACCUCCCUUUGUCCAGUCCAGAGCUAGCCUCUCAAAUUGCCUGAAUCAGAGACCAGUGACCAUAAUGGGUCAUGUAGUAGGGACCCACCACCCCCAAACUGGAACCUUGGGGUCCACACACCAUCAAGCAUAUCUGGGAGGAAGACAACUUCGUUUGCUCUUCUGUUGACACCAAUUAUUCUUGAGUAUCUCUAAUGAUGCCUGUGGCGGUUCAGUUUGCUGAGCCUGCCUCAGUGGUGUGACUUAGAAGAGGGAGUGCAAUGCACUCAUCAUGUUUAGUGGCCUGUGACCAAGGCAUACUGCUCUUAAGCAUUUCAGAGAAAAAACGGUAAACAGAGCCACCAUUCUUGAAUCUACAGCUUGUUCUCUGCAACAGGUUUUCUUUAAAUUCAGGACACAGGAUGGCAAAAGGGUUUCAGGGCCAGUUUACAGGAGGUCUGCAUGAAGGUGACUUCUGAACAAGGCAGCUGUUAGUGGCAGAAUCACCUCCUGAUUCUCCCUGCCACAAGAAAACAUACCCAGCUGAGUGGCAAAGGCCACAUCACCCCAAAUGAAACAUGAACUGCAGGGUCCGGGCCCUCUGAGGACACUGGAGGGGUGGGCCCCUAGGUGGCGCUGCCCCUCCACAAAGGUUGCACACCAGAUUUAGACCGGCUCGGCCUUAGGAGCGUCAUGGACUCCUGCUGCUCCUCACAGAUCCAGGGACCUGAGGCCAGCGAGGGGCAGUAGCUUCUCCCUUUCAGCGUACGGGUUUAUCUGGUGAGAGCUGAUAACUAUGGACUAGAUAAUUGAGUCCCACCCAGAAUUCAUCUUUGGGGUCUGUGACUCUUUGACUAGACCCCAUGAAGGGCGGGGUGGGCGCUCUUUCCCCCUACCCAGACACGCCCCUCCUCCAGGGAAGGCUGGGUCUGGAGGCGCCAGCCUCCAGGUGCACCUGGGGGUAGGCGGGCACGUGGCCGGGGGCACUCACCGAGGAUGCGGAUCUGCGUGAUGGCCCCGUGCAGGCCGAAGAGCAUCCAGAGCGGCUGCGAGGCGUCCACGCACAGCUGCAUGCCCACCGCGGCGCCAUUGUGGCUGAGGUGCAGCUCACCGUCGGGGUUGACCACCAAGCCCAGGAUGUCACCGCUGUGCAGGGGCCCGGGCACGCGGCACACGGCCCAGAACUCCUUACGGUCCACCAGUGCCUCGGGGCUGAAAGGCAGGUCUGCUGGCCGCAGCGUGCCAGGGUCGCACGUGGUGACUCCGAAGGAGAGCGCGCCAGGCCGCGCGCCGCCCGAGCGCGUGACCUUGACGAAGAUGGUCUCGGCCACGCGCACGGGCCGGCUGGUGAAGACGAGCGCGCGCUCGUCGCGCCCGUGCUCCAGGCGCGCCACCGUCUGCUCGUCCAGGAUGCGGACGUGUGCGCCGGCGCGCAGCGCGUGGAAGCGCAGGUCGCCGUCGAGCUGCGCUGGCAGAGCGCGGCUGUGCUGGGAGUUGAGCGAGUUCUGCGGGAUGGGGCAGCCGGCGGCCGGCGCGGUCUCGUCGCCGUCGGCGCCCGGCACGUUGAGGUCGCACAGGCUCACGGAGAGGCGCGCUUCCUCAGCCUCACGUCGCAGCGACGGCCGCCGCAGGGCGGUGAAGGAGCGCGGCCGCAGGCAGUCCGGGAGCACCAGCUCGCUGUCUGCGGCGGGGAGGGAGACAGGGCGACCAUCACGCGGGCCACAGCGCCCAGUCCCCAUCGCCUGCGCACCUCCUCCCACUGGUCUUUAAAGCGCGCACCAGUAAGACGCACCGGGUUUCUAAUGGCACAGAAAAUGCUAGGACAUAACGUUGUGCAGGACUUCUAACUACGUAUUUGUUUAAGCAAAGGAUCAAGGCCGGCAGGAAGGACACACCAAAACUAAAAACAUGAUUACUUCUAAAUAGUAUGCUUAUUAAAAUUGGAUUUUUUUUUUCUAACUCCUGGGGCCCUCCCUUUUUAUCCCAGCAGGCAGAAGAGCACCCAGCACUUAGAAGGCAGCAGUAAAUAAUAUUUGUUGAAUGCAUGCUGACAUCCUACCCAUCUGGGAGGCCAGAGGGAACCCCCCCCCCCCCAGAACGCCUCUCUGCACAAAUUGCAGAGAGAUGUUCUUACCCCAACAAUUACCUUGUGAAGUUAUUGCCACGGAAGGACAUUGAGGCUGAGAAGUUAGGUGAAUUUAUCCAAGUUAUCCUUUCAAAACUGACAACUGGAAAUCAAACCCUUUCUCUUUUUAAUCAUACAAGUAAUACAGACUGUAUUUUGUAGAAAAGACAGUUCAGCAAAAAGAAAAAGUAAUCUCCUGUCAGCCCACCAUCCAGAGGAA